GACGAACCGUGCGAACGUUGUUCGGAAUCACUGGGCUUAAAGGGCGCGUAGGCGGGUUUUCAAGUCUGUGGUGAAAGCCUCCAGCUUAACUGGAGAAGUGCCGUGGAUACUGGAGACCUCGAGGGAGGCAGAGGAAAGUGGAAUUCCCGGUGUAGUGGUGAUAUGCGUAGAUAUCGGGAGGAACACCUGUGGCGAAGGCGGCUUUCUGGGCCUUACCUGACGCUGAGACGCGAAAGCGUGGGGAGCAAACAGG
rnacentral:rRNA from 1 species